UUCCGGUUGAUCCUGCCGGACCCGACUGCUAUCGGAGUGGGGCUAAGCCAUGCGAGUCGUACGCUUCUUGACUGCAAGAGGCGUGGCGAACGGCUCAGUAACACGUAGCUAACUUAACCUAGAGACGUGGAUAACCCCGGGAAACUGGGACUAAUCCGCGAUAGAUCAAGGCUCCUGGAAUGGGCUUUGGUCGAAAGGGAUGGACAAGCAUGUUUUGUCCAUCUGCUCUAGGAUAGGGCUGCGGCCGAUCAGGUUGUUGGUGGGGUAAUGGCCCACCAAGCCUAUAACCGGUACGGGCUUUGAGAGAAGGAGCCCGGAGAUGGACACUGAGACAAGGGUCCAGGCCCUACGGGGCGCAGCAGGCGCGAAACCUUCGCAAUACGCGAAAGCGUGACGAGGUCACUCCGAGUGCCACUCGCUGAGGGUGGCUUUUCCCAAGUCUAAAAAGCUUGGGGAAUAAGGGGAGGGUAAGUCUGGUGUCAGCCGCCGCGGUAAUACCAGCUCCCCGAGUGGUCGGGACGUUUAUUGGGCCUAAAGCAUCCGUAGCCGGUCUUGUAGGUCUUCUGUUAAAACCCAACGGCCCAACCGCUGGACUGCAGAAGAUACCGCAGGACUAGAGGCGGAGAGGCGGACGGUACUCCAUGGUUAGGGGUAAAAUCCUUUGAUCCAUGGAAGACCACCAGUUGGCGAAGGCGGUCCCCCCAGAAACGCGCUCGACGGUGAGGGAAUGAAAGCUGGGGGAAGCGAACCGGAUUUAAAUACCCCGGGUAGUCCCAGCCCUUAAACCAUGCAGCUUAGGUGAAUGGAA
rnacentral:rRNA from 1 species